CUCACAGGCCGAGGAGGACCAUGGUGGGCCCGCCAAUCAGAUACCUCGUACAGUCAGAGGAACAGCCACAUCGUGCGGUCAGAGCCAAUCAGGAGAGAGCACAGAGGAAGAGUAAAACAGAGGGCGGGGCUUUGGAUGACACCGUAAUGAUUGACAGGGCUGAGCUGACAGAGAGACAGACAGGUGGGACAGAGAGACAGACAGGUGAGACAGAGAGACAGACAGGUGGGACAGAGAGACACACAGGUGAGACAGAGAGACACACAGGUGAGAGACAGACAGGUGAGACAGAGAGACAGACAGGUGAUACAGAGAGACACACAGGUGAGAGACAGACAGGUGGGACAGAGAGACAGACAGGUGAGACAGAGAGACACACAGGUGAGAGACAGACAGGUGGGACAGAGAGACAGACAGGUGAGACAGAGAGACAGACAGCUGAGACAGAGAGACAUACAGGUGAGAGACAGACAGGUGGGACAGAGAGACAGACAGCUGAGACAGAGAGACAAACAGGUGAGAGACAGACAGGUGGGAUAGAGAGACAGACAGGUGAGACAGAGAGACAGACAGCUGAGACAGAGAGACAUACAGGUGGGACAGAGAGACAGACAGGUGAGAGACAGACAGGUUCAUACAAACAGGUUCACCUGCUUUAUUUUGACCCACAGAGCAGACAGCUGACCAUCUUCUCUCCGUGCUGUGUCAGACUGCAGCGUCUCCUCUGAUUGGCUCAGAAACAGAAAUCUAGCUGCUCACCUGCAGGUCACAUGACACGAGGAUAACUCAGUGAUUUUAUUAAAGACUGAAACAUAUUUUAAAGGUUUUAUAUCCUGUUUGAUACAUUCUGAUGUUUAACAGAUCGAUUUGUAGUCUUGUUUAUUUAUUGUUUUACAGAUGAAAUAAACAGAUCUUAUUGUUUACGGUUAUUAUCCAAAUGUUCCUGUGAUUAAAUGUGUCAGCACCCUG